CCAAAAUCUAAAUUUAAUUUAAUACUUUUGACUCUACUUUAAUACAUAUAAUAAUAAUAUAUACAUAUAGAAUUGAGCUUCUAUACUUUUAAAAGUACAAGACUAUUGGUACGUGCAGAUUUUUUGCCAUUAGAUUAAGAAAUGUACGGUUAAGAUGAUGUGGAACCCCUAAGGUUGAGUGAGUGAUUGGUUGAAUAGUAUGAUCUAAUGGGUGGAAAUGAUCAAAAGGGUAAACCUAACAGUAAAAAAUUUAUAAGUACCAAGUACUUGGUGCCUUUCCAAACAUCAUAGUCGGACUCUAUACAUAUUUAUAGAACAAGGUUACUGUACUAUUAAUAACACAAAAUCAUUAGUGCUAUUAGAUUAGUCUGGUUAGAAUAAUAAUGAUUCCCUAGAGUUGAGAGGGUGGUAGGUUGAAUAAUAUAACCUAACGGGUGGAAAUGGUCAAAGAGGUAGUUCUAACAAUGGAAAACUCGACAACACCAACUGCUUGAUGCUGUUGAUAAUGUAGUAGCUGAACUUGAUAGCAUCUGUUAGGAUUUGGUCAGAUUUGCAGAUUAAUUAUAGUUGGAUUAGGAUUAAUAUUUAAAUCUGUUGGAGAUAAAUUAGGAUUUAAAUAUUAAUUAGAGAAUGAAUCUAACUAUAUUAGGAUAAAUAUUUAAAUCUAUUGGAGAUAAAUCAAUUAAGAUUUAAAUAUUGAUUGGAGUAGGAAUCCUAAAUAUAUUAAGAUUGGGUACAUUCUUGAUGGAGCAUUAUAUAUAAUGCAUUAGAGUCCCUUUUCGGGGAGAGUACGGCAAAGAGAAAAAAGUGCUCUUGGGGUGUGCCGUACCUGAGUAAAAGAGAGAGAGAGAGAGUUAUCCAAUGAGUUGAGUGCACCUUGUGCAUGGGUGUAUGUGAAGGAUUGUCUUCUUUAUGCGUUUAUAGAAGACGAGAGAAUGGUAGAAAAGAUUCAAGAAAGAGAGCUCCGGUUGUAGCUACUCUAUGUAGAAAAGUAGUCAGGUGCAAUCUUCUCUUAUUUAAUGAAUCGUAUGUUACUCGUAUAUUUUCUGUUUUUGGUAUUUCUCUCUUUUAUGAUUGUAUCAGCUUUUGCUGAGGAGACGGGUUUAUGGUAAAAAACCCGAUUCGACGCUUCCGUUACGGAAUCCCAACAAUCGGUACCGAAUCUACAACAAUCGGUAUCGGAGCAGGUUGCGGAUUCACAAGAUCCGGUACCGGGGCGAGUACCGGAUUCCCAACAGCAUCAAGCGCUUGAUACAGUUAGAAUGAUAGUAGUUCCCUAGGAUUGAGUUGAUGGUUGAUUGAAUAAUAUGAUCAAACGGAUAGAAAUGGUCAAAAAAAAUAGAUCUAAUGGCCGAAAACUUAUGAGUACAAAAUGGUCAAUACUCAUAAGAAUAUAGUAGUCGGACUCUAUAUGUAAUAUUUAGCAUAUUUUAAGUAAAAAUAUAAAGUAUUUAUCUGAACUAUAAACUAUUUUGAUUCAGCUA
rnacentral:lncRNA from 1 species